UCAGACGAUGCGUCAUGCAUAUCAAUAAGCGGAGGAAAAGAAACUAACAAGGAUUCCCUUAGUAACGGCGAGUGAAGCGGGAAGAGCUCAAAUUUGAAAUCUUCAAGGUUUUACCUUGACGAAUUGUAGUUUAAAGAAGUGUUUUCUGUUGAAGUUUUGGUAAAAGUUCUUUGAAUAGGACAUCAUAGAGGGUGAGAAUCCCGUAUUUGACCAUUAUUUUCAGCUGUGUGAUACACUUUCAAAGAGUCGGAUUGUUUGGGAAUGCAGUCCAAAAUGGGUGGUAAAUUUCAUCUAAAGCUAAAUAUUGGCGAGAGACCGAUAGCGAACAAGUACCGUGAGGGAAAGAUGAAAAGAACUUUGAAAAGAGAGUUAAACAGUACGUGAAAUUGUCAAAAGAGAAGCGUUUGACACCAGUGUUGUUUUCUCGAAAAUCAAUUAAAAAGAGUUAGAUUUUGUUGUGUAUUGACCUUAACAGCUUGCAUUUCAAUUUUCUUGCUUUUUUUAAUGCACUUUUCGUUUAACAAGUCAACAUCAGUUUCUUUUGUUGUAAAAGGGUCAUUGGAAGGUGGCUUUCUUUUCGGAGAAAGUGUUUAUAGCCUUUGGCCUCUGCAAUCGGAGAGACUGAGGUCUGCAGCGUAGACUCUUCGGGGUUAGAUACAUUUGUGCUAAGUUAUAGCUUUUUAUAGACAACUUGUUGACUAUAAUUAGUCUUGUAGCUUACUCGCUUACUGCUAUUUUACCUACGCUUAGGAUGUUGAGUCGUAGAGCACGCAG
rnacentral:rRNA from 1 species